AACGCACAUUGCGCUCCCUGGUAUUCCUAGGAGCAUGCCUGUCUGAGCGUCAGUACACACCCUCCGUCGUCCUCUUUGCGGGGGACGGUCGGGUCCUGAGGUUCGGGCUGCGGCUGGCGGGGUCUAACCACCCCCUCGGCCCGCGGCCCCCUCUAAAGUGGAAAGCCAGCGGCCCGCCUGCCCACGAAAGACGUAGUAAUAUCUCAAUGAAUCGUCCGCGAAUGGAAAGGUGCGGUCGGCCUCGAAUCUUAACUCUUAAGGUUUGACCUCAGAUCAGACAAGGAUACCCGCUGAACUUAA
rnacentral:misc_RNA from 1 species